ACCAUAUCCAGUUAGCAUGAAGUGUGAAGUAAUAUCUAGUCAGCAAUUUAGCUUCUUCGAUGGUUGUAAAGGGUUCAGUGGUUUGUUGCUCCAUAAAAGGUUCUAAACCAAUGAUGCCUUGGAAGAAAAAUCACAACUUUGUCUCAUCAUUUUUCCUCCUUCAGUUUUUAAUCCAUCACCCACAUUUUAAUAUUCAGGUUUCCUUCUGCCUGAAGUUCAGCUUAGCACCACUGACUGCUGGGUGGUGAUGACAUCUGAUUUAUAAACUCAGCACAGUUCCGCAAUAAAGCCUCAGCAGCUCUUUAAGCGAUGACUGAUCACAGUGAACGCAGCUCAGAAUAACUUCAGCCCACGGUUUCCACGAAGCCAUGAGUGACACCCAAAUGUCAUAAACAACACCACAGUCUCUAGGUUUCAUCACUGAGCUCGACAUUUCAUCAUCAGCUUCCUGUCAGGAUCUGGAAGUGUGGGUCAUCUGCAUGCUGAAGAGACUUCCCUGGAGAUUUACACUCUCAGUCCCAUGAUGCAUUGCAACAUCAUUGUGAUGACAGAAGAACCUGUUAAGGUAACAAAGCCAAUUGGAUGCUUUCCAUCUCCACCCGAAACUAUGUGUAUUUCUCUUCUCCAUAUUUUCCAUCAUCACCUCUAUGGAGGCAUAGCAGUCACAUGACUUCAAAAGGAGCAGAGUAGCAGAUCUGGUCCACCAACACCAAAGCUAUGUACUCCAUUCCCAUUACUAACAUCCUGCUGUAUUAAUUUGGAGACUUGUCAUGGCUGAAACUUUGGAACCAUGAGAUUCAAAAGACUUUGGUGCAGUACAGAAGAUGAACUUGAUGGUGACUCUGGAGUUGCUGGACUUUAGUUAUACAGUUUUUGUCCCUCAAUGUGAUCCAUCAUCUAAAAAAUGUUGCUGAUGAUGUUUAUUUUCAUUUGAAUCAUUUGACUGCUCCAUUAAGCUUGCUGGAUAAAGCUAACCAGAUCCAUAGUUACUGUAUUUGUUCAUCUACUAAAUAGCUGCAGAUUCUUUUAUUGCUAGAUUUUACUGAGCUAAUGGUCCAAAUUCCUUCUGCUCCAUGUCCUGUGGUCACCACAAUAAAAAAGACUCCACUCCUA